AAAUUCUGCAACACAGUAAAAUUUCAAACAAUGGAGAACCCUGAACAAGUAACAAGCUACUAAAACUACUAACGUCUGCUAAAUGUUGUGUGACGCGUCUAGUGUGUUGGUGUUAGUGUCUGUGUGCUUGUCACCUCUCGCUUUCAGCCAUCACCGCUGGCUAGCAGCAAUGCGAAAAGGGGGAAGAAAUUCUAAUGACUUCCCCUGCCAGUACAUAGCCUCUCCACAACAAGUCCUAUGCGAUGCCUCCACGUGGAAGCAGACGGAUACUGGGUAUCAUUUUGUCCCAGGCUAAGUUCGCAAGGACGCACGGGAAGAUGAGUCUCAAAAGCAUUGAGGAAUACUUUUAAGGCUGAACAGGAUCCUGAAGUGAGGAGGACUCCCUCUCUCAUUGAACUGCAUACAGCAGCAGAAAGCAGGAUUUCAGUUCCCCUUUGAUUCAGAAGAGGAACAACAAUGGAGGACCAAGGUCAUUAAUAUAAGAUAAGUCUAUUCCUGUCUGUGUUUUGCAGCAGAAGAAAGUUAAGACUGACUAGGAAUUCUAAGUGAGGAAGAGUCCCUUUCCCAUUCCGCUGCAGCCAUCAGGAGAAUACUUUAUUUUCAAGGAAUUUGACAAGGGAAGAGGACCAGUGCUGACCAAGUGAAGAAAAAGAAGAGUCUAUUGCCAAGCUUUGUACAGCAGCCAAUAUCUGAUUAAGGAGUGGGCAGACGGUUAUGCUGGCAUUGAUCCUGUUUCCAAAAGCAGAUCAACAUGAUUCCUCAAGACUCCAAAGAGAUCAACUAUGGGACCUGAAAAUAAAGGCAGACUGCCAUCAAUUUCAUGUUUCUUUGAUAGCAGACAAAUAUGCUUCAACAAUAGUGCAGAGAGUAAUUUAAGGUUUGGACUGCAAGUGAUGGACACACUAAAUAACUCAACUCAAAGAAUUCAAUGGAUAGUGCUGAGUACAUUAUUAUAUAUCUACAAAGUGAUGGGCACACUAAAUAGCUUAACUGACAGAAUUCAAUGGACCGUGCUGAGUACAUUAUUAUAAUAUCUACAAAGUGAUGGGCACACUAAAUAGCUUAACUGACAGAAUUCAAUGGACCGUGCAGAGUACAUUGUUAUCUACAAAGUGAUGGACACACUAAAUAGCUUAACUCACAGAAUCCAAUGGACAGAGUUGAGUAUGUACUAAUAUCUACAAAGUGAUGGACACAGUAAACAGCUUAAUUCUCAGGAUUCAGUGUACCAUGCUGAGUACAUAACUCAUUAAGGAUAACUCAUAUGACAUCCACAGCAGAUCACUCAAAGUUGUGUUACUACAUUAUUGUACAACUUUUCAUAUACUACAUUAUUUUUUUCUGAAUUUUUUUUU